AGACAGCAGCGCGGCGCAGAAGGCAUCUCCAGCGCCCAGCGUGUCCAAGACGCGCUCUGGAGGAUAGGCGGGGGCCAAGAAGACGCCCUCAGGACCUUUUGCAGCCGCUCCUUGCUCUCCCCACGGCACCACCAAGGUCGCUCUGUAACAGGUGAAAGCAGCGUGGAUGGCUGUACCACAGGACGCCGUGCACGCCUUAUAAGAGUCGAUGCCAUCAUGCAUGGAACAAGUUAUCAAGGCUCAUGAUGAACCCUGUGCCUACUAGGCAAUGAGACACGUGGAGAAACAAGGCGAGGUACUGAAGAAUAAGUGGAAGAACCUACGUGACACUUUCCGCUCUGAACUCAAAAAAACUCAAGCUGAACGUUCAGGAGAGGAAGGUGGCAUGCCGCCUUUCCAAUCCAAUUGGCCGUGGUCCGAGCUAAUGACCUUCCUGACUCACAUAAUGACGCCACGGAAGACGAAGACUAAUGUUCAUAACAGUAAAAGAACAGCAUCGCAACAUGACGACGCACACUACGACGUACCAUUUUCACCAGCUCUUACAGAGAGAGAAAGUGUUCACCUGAUGAAACCAACCAAGCCAACUCUUCAAGACUGUAAGUUCAGAGGGUAGCGUUUCGAUGCCUCCUCCCUCACCCACCCUACACACAAACCAAAACAAGACAUCCAAGAAAUCGACAAACUCUGAGUUGCUAAAUAUAGAGAAGCAAAAGUUGAGGCUAACUGAGCAACAAAUGUCGAAAUCAGAAACGCAAGAUGACAACUAUCAUUUUGUAGUGAGUUUGCUGCCAGCAAUGCGAGAACUAUCACCAACAGCUCAGUUGAGAGCCGGGAUAAAAAUUCAGCAGGUUCUUUUGGAAGAAUUGGAACAAUCAACCACUUCCACUGCACAUUCGUUGAUGUCACCCUAUGCUCCUGGAAAUCCAGUUGAAAUCGUAAUUGCUGAAUAUCCGCAAAAUGAAAUAGUCAUUUCUGAAAUUCAACCUGAUGACAUUGUUAUUUCAAGCGACCAAGAUUCUGAA